rnacentral:rRNA from 1 species
AGAGUUUGAUCAUGGCUCAGAUUGAACGCUGGCGGCAGGCUUAACACAUGCAAGUCGAACGGUAACAUAAAGAAGCUUGCUUCUUUGAUGACGAGUGGCGGACGGGUGAGUAAUGCUUGGGAAUCUAGCUUAUGGAGGGGGAUAACUACGGGAAACUGUAGCUAAUACCGCGUAGUAUCGGAAGAUGAAAGUGUGGGACCUUCGGGCCACAUGCCAUAGGAUGAGCCCAAGUGGGAUUAGGUAGUUGGUGAAGUAAAGGCUCACCAAGCCGACGAUCUCUAGCUGGUCUGAGAGGAUGACCAGCCACACUGGGACUGAGACACGGCCCAGACUCCUACGGGGCGCAGCAG